rnacentral:lncRNA from 1 species
GUUUAUGGUACCCAUUUGGGGAAUAUGUUUAUACCCUUCUUAGUGCUGGCAUUUACCAAGCAAAGAUGCCACUUGGAAAGGGUGAUUUAUUUUUUGCACCAUUAUAUUUUGAAAGACUUUCAGGUUACAAGAACCCUUUGAAGUUAAAGCCCGUGAUGUUAAGAUUAAUAACAGUAAUUAUAGGGCUCUGUAAUAGUAGAAAAAUCUGUUUCUUGCCUUUGAGAUUGAAUAUGAAAGGUUCCAGGUCCAAGGGAGUAAUAAAAGCUUUUUCUUUCUGCAAGGACAGCCAGGAACAGGAAGAAGUUUCUUCCUGGAAAAUACACAGGGGUGUUGAAUGUUCAAGUUUUUCUGAAGAUAAGGUGAUCCUCUGUAACCUGGCCCCAGGGACUACUUUAGGUCAUAAUCACUUUUGUUUGAUCUUUUUUGUUUUGCUUUGUUUAUAAUGUCAAUGCUCACCUGGGAAAUUAGGAUUGUUUUGACCCUUUCUCCCUUGCUGCAUACUUCAAAGUGUGCUCUGAUUUAAAAUGUUCUUCCUAGUAGCUGUGGAGAAAAUUGUCCCCCUAAAAAACCCUUUAAGUUCUUGUGAUAAUGAGAAAUGGCCAAAUUAAAUACUAUUCUAAUGAUUUUCUCCCAUUCACUAAACUUUUUAGGAAGCCCUUUGAGAGGAAGGAGAGGAAAAAGUAUAUGAUAAAUGAGGUGGAAAAAUUAGUGGGAAGUAAGUGAUAAUGAAUGAACAAGGGGUGAAGGGGAAAAUAUAAGCAAAAA